UGCAAGUCGAACGUGCGGAAGAUUUCGGUUUUCCAAAAGUGGCGCACGGGUGAGUAACGCGUAGCUGACCUGCCCCUCGCUGGGGGAUAACACGCCGAAAGGCGUGCUAAUACCGCGUACGCUCACGGGGAUUUAGAAGCCUGUGAGGAAAGCGUUUGUAGCGGCGAGGGAGGGGGCUGCGUACCAUCAGCCAGUUGGUGAGGUAAUGGCUCACCAAGGCAACGACGGUUCGGGGACCUGAGAGGGUGACCCCCCACACUGGCACUGAGAUACGGGCCAGACUCCUACGGGAGGCAGCAGUAAGGAAUAUUGCACAAUGGGCGCAAGCCUGAUGCAGCAACGCCGCGUGCAGGAUGAAGGCUUUCGGGUUGUAAACUGCUUUUAUGAGGGACGAGCAAGGACGGUACCUCACGAAUAAGUCUCGGCUAACUACGUGCCAGCAGCCGCGGUAACACGUAGGAGACGAGCGUUAUCCGGAUUUACUGGGCGUAAAGCGCGGGUAGGUGGGGUCUUAAGUCAUGCGUGAAAGCUCUCGGCUUAACCGGGAGAGGUCGUGUGAAACUGGGGCUCUCAGAGGUAGGUAGAGGCAGAUGGAAUUCCGGGUGGAGUGGUGAAAUGCGUAGAGAUCCGGAGGAACACCAGUGGCGA
rnacentral:rRNA from 1 species